GUCGGCGACCAUACCACGUUGAAAGCACCGGUUCUCGUCCGAUCACCCAAGUUAAGCACCGUUGGGCCCAGUUAGUACUUGCAUGGGUGACCGGCUGGGAAUACCUGGUGUUGCCGGCU
rfam:Trichobilharzia regenti genome assembly, scaffold: TRE_scaffold0006163